GGGGAUAUAGAUCAGUGAUAGGAUGCUCGCCUACCAUGCAAAAGACCCUGGGUUCAACCCCCAGUACUACAA
rnacentral:tRNA from 1 species